rnacentral:rRNA from 1 species
AGUGAACGCUGGCGGUAGGCCUAACACAUGCAAGUCGAACGGCAGCACAGUAAGAGCUUGCUCUUACGGGUGGCGAGUGGCGGACGGGUGAGGAAUACAUCGGAAUCUACUUUUUCGUGGGGGAUAACGUAGGGAAACUUACGCUAAUACCGCAUACGACCUACGGUUGAAAGCAGGGGAUCUUCGGACCUUUCGCGAUUGAAUGAGCCGAUGUCGGAUUAGCUAGUUGGCGGGGUAAAGGCCCACCAAGGCGACGAUCCGUAGCUGGUCUGAGAGGAUGAUCAGCCACACUGGAACUGAGACACGGUCCAGACUCCUACGGGAGGCAGCAGUGGGGAAUAUUGGACAAUGGGCGCAAGCCUGAUCCAGCCAUACCGCGUGGGUGAAGAAGGCCUUCGGGUUGUAAAGCCCUUUUGUUGGGAAAGAAAAGCAGCAGGUUAAUACCCCGCUGUUCUGACGGUACCCAAAGAACAAGCACCGGCUAACUUCGUG